GGAUAACCUACCCUUAGGACUGGGAUAACCUUGGGAAACUGAGGACAAUACCGGAUAGGCAAUUAUUCCUGUAAUGGUUUUUUGUUUAAAUGUUUUUUCGCCUAAGGAUGGGUCUGCGGCCGAUUAGGUAGUUGGUUAGGUAAUGGCUUACCAAGCCGUUGAUCGGUACGGGUUGUGAGAGCAAGAGCCCGGAGAUGGAACCUGAGACAAGGUUCCAGGCCCUACGGGGUGCAGCAGGCGCGAAACCUCCGCAAUGUGAGAAAUCGCGACGGGGGGAUCCCAAGUGCCAUUCUUAACGGGAUGGCUUUUCAUUAGUGUAAAGAGCUUUUGGAAUAAGAGCUGGGCAAGACCGGUGCCAGCCGCCGCGGUAACACCGGCAGCUCUAGUGGUAGCAAUUUUUAUUGGGCCUAAAGCGUCCGUAGCCGGUUUAAUAAGUCUCUGGUGAAAUCCUGUAGCUUAACUGUGGGAAUUGCUGGAGAUACUAUUAGACUUGAGACCGGGAGAGGUUAGAGGUACUCCCAGGGUAGAGGUGAAAUUCUGUAAUCCUGGGAGGACCGCCUGUUGCGAAGGCGUCUAACUGGAACGGUUCUGACGGUGAGGGACGAAAGUUAGGGGCGCGAACCGGAUUAGAUACCCGGGUAGUCCUAACUGUAAACGAUGCGGACUUGGUGUUGGGGUGGCUUU
rnacentral:rRNA from 1 species